rnacentral:tRNA from 1 species
GCCCAGCUGGCUCAAUCAGUAGAGCAUAUGAUUCUAGAUCUCAAAGUUGUGAGUUUGAGCCCCAAGUUGGGUG